AGGGACGAGAAGGAUACGCCUCCUUUCCCUCUCAUGUCCACCAAACCUUGGUCUCUUCUAUUUUGCCCUAUAGUCUAAAACAAUCCUAAACCCCCGCCUUUGUGUUGUCAGGCCCCAUCCCCCACCAGCUUUGCCCAAUGGAGAACAAACAUGCUCUGUGCCUCAUCCAUGCUGUCAAGAAUUUCUUUUUCUCACACUCUGCAUCCUUGAGCAGUCCUUCAUGAAACCACAGCAGAUGUUUCUCAGUCCUUUCAUUUUCUUUUUUCAGAGGAAUUGUAAUCGGCUGCGCUUUAAUUAGGAUCUCCCCGAGGAUACUUCGGCUUUCUUCCACACCCGGGAGUUUGCAGAUUCCCUCUUAGUGCACCAGGCUGAUUAGAUUUCUUAAUUCCCUAAAACAUGCUGUCUCGAAGCCUAAUACCCUUGUAGGGAUGAGGUCUGUUUCUCUGCCUCUCCUCUCAUUACAGUGCUAAAUCCAGGCAGUGGUCUCCCUUACGGCACUUGCUUCUUCCCUGGCUCCGGACCCCUUUUUUGAUGGCCUGCAAACCUUCUGACAAAGAAGCUGCCUUGAAAGACAAAAUGGGUCCAGCAGGGAAUUAGACAGAAAAUAUUUACAGACUCGGUGAACCAAGAGCUGGGUGUUCCGGGCUGUUGAAGAAAAUGGAGUAAUGGGAUAGAAGCUGCUUUCAACUUCCUGCUGGUAAAGAACAAGCCUGUGUCAACAAGAGACCGAAUAAGAAACCCUCAAGGAGGAGACGUGGGAGUUGCCUUCAUUCAUUGGAUAGAGUGCCGCAGCACAGGAUGCUCUGAGAGGCCAGCACCACACCCUCUUGACCAUGCUGUAGCCAUAAAUGUUCCAGAGGCAUCUGAGAAAACCACUGCAGAAUACACAGAGCACAGCUGCAUUUUGUCUUCUCCACCUACAACAGGGUUUGCUCUACCCUGCCAUAUCACAGGCUCCUGAAAAGACCAACUCACAGCACCACAGGAUGUGAUUAAGCCUUGGAGAAGAUUAAUUACCCACUUUCUUAGGAGUCGGUCUCUCCUCGCCACUCACUCAAGUUCCUUUACCCCCCACUAAGCCUCUGAAAGAAUCUAACAUCAUAAACAAGGAUCUCACUAGCAACUUGAAUUCGGGCUGCAGAUCUUUUGUGAAGAUUUGGUUACAGAUGCUGCUUUAACUUCUGAGGAUUAUUCUUCAGCAUCCAGAGAGACUCCAGUUGCUCUCCUGGGAAAUGUUCUCUCACUUGAAUAACUCAUCUGUUCACCCAUUGGCAUAACUGCUGCCAGUUCCAAGCACCUGCUGAGGAGUGGACCCAGAUUAGGCCUCUGGCAGGGCUACAAAGAACGCAUUUCAGUGUUGGACUUCCCAUUCCAUUUGCAUCUUCAGGGGAAGUUAAUGUCCCACUCAAGUUUCUCUCAGUUAGGGUGACAGGGAGAUGCAGUUCUUCAAAUGCUGUCCUCAAGUAGAGAGGGAGACCACAGAGCUCCGACUGGCUUGCCAGCCCAUGGAGCCAUUUUUUCUUUGGUGGUGGAUGCUCUCGGUGUGGCCUCUAGAGCUCCUUUCAUGUUCCUUUUCUCUCUGCAUUCCCACCGCUCUCCCCUCAGGUGGGUCCACAUCACCUCUCGCCUGGACCUCAGUCUGUCUCCUCUCUGCUAACCAGGGUAUCUUCACUUCCCUGCAGCUUUCACACAGCAGCCAGAUUAAUGUUCCUCAGUGCAGCUUUGAUCACACCACUGUGCCCAAACAAAAUCUUUCAUGGCCCCCAGCUACCCAGUGAUCAAAGUCCAGGGUCCUCACUCCAGCAUUAAAGAGCCUCUGUAUUGUGGAUCCCAAAUCAUCACAUGCCCCACCUCCAUCACCCAUCUGUUCCACUCCCACCCACCUCAACCUCAGUUCUAGUCCUUCAAGCUGCAGGCAGCAGCUCAUCGAGAAGGUCAUGAAAUCAAUGAAGUAUGUGACGAAAGCAUUUUAAAAUGAAAUUUAUAGCAAAAGAACAAAUAUGCAUAUGGCUUUCUAUAUAGCAGGCUCCAUUCCAAAUACUUUGCAUAGACUCACAUACUUCUCACACUGUCCCUAGGGAAAUAAGCACUCUUGCUAUCCCUGUUUUACAGAUAAGGACACAGACCCAGGGAGGUUAAAUAAGUUGUCCAAGGUGAUUAAUUCUGGCUUGAACCCAGAGAGCCUUGUAUCAGAAGCCACACUCUGCUAUACUCCCCAUGAUGUACUAUAUGGAAUAAAACUAUAUUCUAGAUUUUGUAAAACCAUAUGGAACAGAAUAGAAAAUUUAGGGCAUUCUGUAUAUACAAUGGUAAAUGUUCCAUGAAGGUCUGUUGGAGAUAAAUAUAAAUGUAUACACACAAGACUACAGUAGAAAAUGUGUAUUGUGCUGAGUACACAAGGUCAAGUGUUUGUCUUACUGUGGCUUGUGGUCAAAAACACGUGAAACCUGUUGUUCUGGCUAAAACCAAGGAACUGCCAAUGAUCUCUCACGCUUCUUUGCCUCUACAUCUUCACCCACACUGAUCCCAGCACUGGAAAUAUCUUUCCCUGUCGUUUCUCACCUGUCUCUCUGGUCCAAACAUGUCUUGUCCAUGGAGUCUUUCUUAAUUCUUCUCUUUAUUCUGUCUUCUAAAUUAUAAGCUUCUUGAGGGCUUAGGUACAUACAUUUCACAAUCAGUUCUUGCUUCCUAACAAAGAAGGAAGCAUCUUCCAGGAGGCUUUUACUCCCAACCUACUUUCAACCCCCCAUUGGUGUGAUGAGAUUUCUGAUAUUCGUCUUCUUUCUGUGAUACUUUGGGACAAUGGUUCUCAAAGUGUGGUCCCCAGACCAGCAACGUCAGCAUCGCCUGGGACUUGUUAGAGAUGCGUAUUCUCAGGCCCCAUCCCAGACCUACUGAAUCAGAUUAUCUGAGGGUGAACAACAGCAGUGUGUGCUACAACCAGCCUUCCAAGUGAUUCUGAUGCUUGUGCAAGUUCGAGAACCACUGGCUUAAGAAAAAGCCAUUCUUAUUCAAUAUGAGAGAAGGGUUUGUUUCAUGAAUCUGGGCCAGUUGGCUGCAUUGUAUUGCUUAUGAGGACAAGGUCAGGGGAUCAAAUUUGUGUAUCCAAGUCAGCAACAUGUCACACCACACAUUGAAUCCCCCAACCCUAGCUUUUGUGCAAUUGCAAGCUAUUUAGUCCCAAAAGAACUAUGGAUGUCUCAGUGCCAAAGCUAACUCACCUAAAUUAUUACUGUCAUCGCAUUAAUGGAGCCAGGCUCACAGCCAUGAGCCAUCAAGCACCCUGCAGGGGACAGUAAAAGCAGAACCAGGAAUGGACAAAGACAUUGUUAGAAGUCAAGAGAACAUGGACUUUCUAAAUAUCAAGGCAUUUUAGAAGGUAUGGCUAAAACAGAUUGCAAAUGAUGACGAAAGGCAGUAAAAAUCCAAGUGGGUUUAGGAUGGGAAAUUUCAAAUUUCAUAGGAAAUCCAAGGUCACAGAAAUAAUAAACCAGAAUGACCUAGGAGCUAGCACUUGAUAGAUUCAGGAGCAUUUCCAUGGACAGACAUUUUAUAUUUGAAGAAACUCGAAUCUAUAUUCCGAGAAGUUAAGAAACAAGAUCACGCAAUGAGGAAAUAGCAGAACUAGAAUGCAAACCAACUUUUGUUACCCAGGAGUCUCUACUAAAGGUCUGCCUGCCCUGCUGAGGGCACUCCCCUCUCUGCGGUUUCUCUUCUACACUCCUGCCACACUGGCCCCAGUGCUGCCAUGUCCACUCCCAGGGCUCUGCACUUACUCUUCCUUCUCUUUUAAGUAUUUUUUCACUAGCUGUUCCCAGAGCUGCACCCUCCUCAUCCUUUAGGCCUCAACCCAAAUGUUACUUACUCAGAGAGUUCUUCCCUGACCACCCAGCCCACACUUCUGUGACUGUAUGAGUUUCCUGGGGCUGUUGAAACAAAUGACUGCAAAGUUGGUGACUUAAAACAACAUAAGUUGGCUGGGUGUUGUGGCUCAUGCCUGUAAUCCCAGCACUUUGGGAGGCCCAGGCGGGCGGAUCAUGAGGUCAGGAGAUUGAGACCAUCCUGGCCAACAUGAUGAAACCUCAUCUCAACUAAAAUACAAAAAAAUUAGCCGGGUAUGGUGGUGUGUGCCUGUAGUCCCAGCUGCUCAGGAGGCUGAGGCAGGAGAAUUGCUUGAACCCAGGAGGCAGAGAUUGAAGUGAGCCAAGAUCACACCACUGCAUUCCAGCCUGGACAACAGAACGAGACUCCAUCACAAAAACAAAACAAAACAAAACAAAAACAUAAGUUUUUUCACUUACAGUUCUGGAGGCCAAAAAUCCAAACUCAAGGUGUCGGCAGGGCCAUGUCUCUCUGAAGGCACUAGGAGAAAACCUGCCCCAUGCUCCUCUCCUAGGUUCUGGUGGCUGCCAGCCAUUCAUGACAUUUCUUGACUUGCGGCUGCAUGACUUCCAGUGGCACUGUCCUCUCUGUGUCUGUGUUAAAUAUCCCUCAUAAGAACACCAUUCAUCGGAUUAGGGCACACCCUAACACCAUAUGGCCUCAUCUUAACUUCAUUACAUCUGCAAAGACCUUAUUUCCAAGUAAAUCCACAUUCAUAUGCAUUGGGCAUUAGAACUUUGACACAUCCUUUUUGGGGGAGGUGGGGAACAACUCAACCCACACACAGCCACAGACAUUUCCUACAAUACCCUGUUCUAUCGUCUCCAUACUGCUUCUCAGUAUGUGACAUUAUCCUAUUUAUUUAUAAGUGUAUGUGCUCAUUGCCUGCCCAACCCUUCCCCAACUAGAAAGAAAGCUUCUUAUAGCCGUGUACCUCUCUGUCUUGUUCACAGAUGAAUCUCCAGCACAUAGAAGGGGGGCCUGGAACAAAGCACUGUUUUACAAAGAUUUACUAACUGCCUGAACUGCCUCUCCCACUGGGGUCUUUCAUUACAUGGUCCCACCUCACCAACCACAGGGAUGAAUACGUGACCUAAGCUGACUUAUCAGAACCAUUGUAAGGACAGACCCUGUGAGAGAGGGAACCAUGAUGUCUCCUCUGAAAUCAUUGCUGUGAGGAUGAUGUCAUAGUGUUGCCAGAUAAAAUACAGAAUGUCCAAUACUCUUUUAGCCUAAAUAAAGAUCCCAUGCUAUAUUUAGGACAGUGUAAAUACUACUUGGGACCUCCUUCUUCUGAAAAAGGUAUUUGUUGUUUAUCUGAAAUUCAACUCAACAGAGCCUUCUUUACUUUUAUUUGCUAAAUCUGGAAACUCUAUGGUGUCAGUCUCAAACUGCCAGAACCUUGUUGUCCACACAAGGAAGGAACAAAACCUCCCUGAGAAUGAAGCCUUUGUAGAAGGAAGCAGAGUCAAGAGAUAAAGACUAAUUCCUGGUCAUAUUUCCUAAGCCCCUGCAUCCAGCCAUGCCUAAAUGCUUCCUUUACCUCUGAGGCUUCUCAGUAAUCUGCGUCAGUAAAUCCCUCAUCCAUCUUACAUUUUUCUUUCCUAAGCUAUUUGAAACUAAGUUUUUGCUACUUGCAAAUGAAGUUCUGGUGAAUGUAAAUCACCUUCCAAUCAGUGCCAAUUCUUGCCUUCAUGAUCUCCUAAAAUCCAUAAUCCCUUAGUUUCCCUCCUAGUUUUUCCACUACUUUCCCCAAUGAUGCCCAUUCCACUCUUAGUUAAGAGUAGUCUGAUGUAGUCCUUUGUGUUCAGGCCAGAAAGGUCCAUCUCAGCUGUCUCCCUCCAAUCUGUAUCAUGAAGUCCAUGAAGAUGCAGAGGAGAGCCCCAACAAGACACAAACCCUCUCUCUUGCUGAUGGUGACCACCCUAUAAAGCAUAAAUGCAAUGUCUUAUUAUGCUAAGAGGUCCCCUUUUGAUCAGGUGUGAAGAAUAAAAGCAAGAAAAAAAAGGGAGAAAAAAGCAGGAAACCCUAUCCUACUAUAGCCAAAAUGUUUCUCCUGAGCCUCCAAAGAAACAGGGCCCAUUGCAAGGUCUGGGUGCUGUGGGUUUCUUGAGCAGCAGAAUCCCAACCUUUCAUUCUCUUCUCCAGCUUUACUGCAGAGUCUUAAGAGCAGACCCAGUUGGUCAUACAAAAGUGACAGCAAACGAGAAGGUCCACAGAGCUGAGACAGCACCCCAGAUGGUAUUGCCUGCAGAUGACUUGUGCAGUGUUCCUGCUGUCACACAUAUCCCUUUGGUCCUACAUAAUAAAUCUCCCCUUGCUGAUGGGACAGACAGCUAGGAUUGCUACUUUUACUUUUGGCAGAUCCUGAUUUGCUAAAGAUUGGCCCCUCCAUUCCAAGCAGAAGAGAAGGAACAGGCCAAGUGCUAGGGUGCCAAUCCCUUAGCAUCUAGGCAGGAGAAAAGAGAGAAAACUCAUAUCCUUGCCAAGAGAUCUGUCAAAUGGCCAUAGGCAGGGACAUGAACCUCCAUCCAAAUUAAACACUCAGCCUUCUGAGCCCAGUAGUUGCCAAGCAUACACUUUGUAAAUCAAGACAGCAUGUAUUCAUCCAGCAAAUAUUUAUCAAGAUCAGGCAAUAUGCAAACACUGUGCUAGGCACUUGGGAAAAAAAUAAUGAGAAAAUGUAAACGUGGUUUGCUGUGGU